CUUCGGUCGCGUUGAAGCGAGAGCUAGCACGAAGGUGAAUUCACUCGCUGCUGCGGGUUCUAUUUUGAAAGAUAUCGUGCGGUACGGAAUGACGGACGGAUGGUUUUUCUUGUUGGGUAAGUAUAGAAUGCUUACGUUAUAAAAAAAAAAAUCGCAGGGUUCGCGAAUUUCGCGAUAACAACCAACACGAACCUACUCCCCCUCCCCCCGCUGAGCGAUGCCGUCUUGAUCGCCCCCUCCCAACCCCGGGAAAAGGGACACUACCUCUCUAUCUCAGUUGAAGAAACGAUGAUGAAACGUUAACAACGACAAGAACGACAUUUCCUAACGAGUUGUCUUAUGGCCUCCGAGAUUUGCGCGCGAAGCUGGCGCGCGCGAACCUGGGAGGCCAUAAUUGGCCGCCUAAUAGCAUAAAAAGACAAAAAGAUAACGCGAAACGACACAGUUAAAAAUUCAAACAGCGUACGGAUCUUAGCUAUACUGUUUGGGGAAAAGAAAUAAAAAAAAUAGACAGCCGUAACACACGCCACUAAAGCCACCACCGCCGGCAUAACGCGGAACCAACAGUUGGCAACAUUGCUUCGUCCGCUUCGUCUCCGCAACGAGAGCCGCCAUCCUUUCGCGCCGGCCGUUUUGUCAUAGUUCUGUUUUUCUGCAAGUCCGUGUACGCCGCUCAUCGGUAGAUGCACGGGUGCACGGCGUCGCAUUGUGACCUGCGGCAUUUUCUCGUGUUCGCGCAAUCGGUGUGAAACAUGUCGCAUGUGAAAUAUUUGAUAGAAGUGCCUCACGUCCAAGUCAAGCCGCCGUACGAGUGUAUGGCUGUGUGCCCCGUUCUCGGAAGCGUCGACGGGUUUCCGGCAUGCGGAUUUCAGCGUUUGGACUCGACUUUUGGUGAGGAUGUCGAUCGACCUUGGGCCUGGUGACAGCACACCCGACAUAGCCAAAGUGCAGCCUAUCAGUUUAGUGCCCCCGAAUGGAUCAUCAGCAUCGGAAAAUGAAGCAGAGCCAGGGGGAAAAGGUUCCGGUAACACCAUGCAUUGAGUAUGGUGGCCCAGACGUGUAUGCAAGCAACCUCCUUCACGUGGACCAAGAACUACUGUGCAGUGUCUCGCAGACUUCAAUGCGAAGCCCUCAACAUUCUCGUCUCAGUGGAAUGGCUGCUCAUCUAUCUGCGUGUCCAUCACCAAGACGGCCAGUUGUAAAGCUCCUGUACCCGUUUAAGAAAGCUUAAUGAUCUUUAUUUAGUUUUCACGGUUGGCCGUAGAAUCUUACCAUUUUUGAUGUUUCUAGCAUUUUUACCUGGCACAAAGUGGUGCAAUAACUUUAAACCAGUGUAAUGUAUUUAAGUGAUGCUCACUCUAAUGUCUAUCUGGUUUUGUUAGUGUUUAAGAAAUUUCAAUGUCUGAUCAGGUAACAGCAUUUGAAUUUGUCAUCGUGGCUCGUUUCAAUGAGCUGCUAGGAAAUAAGACGCAAAACUUAUCACCCGACAGUUGUAGCAUUUUUUUUUUCAUGACUACAGUAUACACGUUUCAAAAGAUGGAAAGUGGGGAAAAAAGCCUCAAGAACGUAAUCAUCCUAGGAUUGUCAUGUCCUUACAACUCUGCAAUGACUAAUGCCUCAUACAUCUUGGGAGCACAUUGGUCGCAAUGCCUACAGGUAUACUUGAUAAGAGAAUAGCUUGCACCCAGAUUUGCCACACAGUUGAUGGCUGAUGGCUUUUGUUUGUCGACUUCAUGUUACUACUAUGUAUUCAAUAUUCAUUUAGAUGUAAAGGACACUACAGGCACUGAAGUACCAAAUGGCACUUGCAUUUCAGGGGACAAAGUGCCCAGCAUACUUGUCACAAAACGUGUUCUAGGGGCUACCUUGCCUCUAUAGGUAAAUCGACACCAGAUGCUCUGUGUAUAGUGUAAUCAGUGUACUUGUCUGGAGUGCUUGAAAGACGUGCUACGGGCUGUACUCGCACUGCCUGAAGAUAAUGCAUGGUUCUAGAAAGCCUGCAGCUGAGCAUCUGCCACCAUACUGAAGGAACUGUACUAAUUUAUUGUGAUGAUGUUGAAAUUUAGGAGCUGCAAUGAAUAGUUGUAAAUGUGGAAGCGUUGCCAAACUAAAGCACAAAUUACACACCUCGACUCACACAAUACACUCUGAAAGUUUUGCUACGUGGUAUCUGUGUUUGUAGCCUGACCUUAUGGCACCUUUACGAGCAAUGGCAGGUGAUUGCAGCUGCUGAGGCUUUAUCAACUGGCAAGUUGAAAAAAGAAUGCUGUGCCACCAGUGUGGCUGCACAUUCCAAGAUGCAAGCUAUCUUGAACCAGGUGUUCGGCAGACAGUACAUGUGCAGCCAAAACAUGGUGUUUGAGCCCUAUAGGCAACUAGGGUUCACAACUGCCCACAAGUGUGCUGUCAUAACAGAAAGUUGAGAACAAGCAGCAUUUUUACCGGUGUUCGAAACAUUAGUGCAAGUCAUUCUUUCACCAAGGCUGGUAAUCAUGCAUAUGUAACGAGAACAGGGCAUUUGUUACACACAAGGGGUCAUGUGUCAAGUUUAAUUAGAUCAGUAAUCUAUGAGAUGGAUUUAUAAAAAGUAUACCUUUUGUUCCUCAGUGGUCUCUUGGAGAGAUGACCAUUUUCGGCAGUUUAGUUUUGACUUUUUAUGUCUAGAUUUGGUGUGCAUAUUUCAACUGUAGCUAACAGUCAGUGCUCUGUCCUGCCCAGUUUUUAUGUUGUCUUUGUGAUAUUUGCAAUAUUUUGCAGUUCAGCUGCAAAAUAUUGUCUAUACUAUUAUAUAUUGUCUAUGCAAGUAUAUGUCUUUACUAUUACUAGUUUUCAUGUUCAACUUUUGUGCAGUGCUCACUACUUAUUACUAGCCAUGUUUUGUUCACAUGUGCUCUUGGAUUGUUGCGCGAAGUGACACAGACACAGACUGCAAGCAGACAGGACGAGCGCUAACUUUCAGCUAACUAUUAUAUAUAUAUAUAUAUAUAUAUAUAGGUGAUUGCAAAAAAAACGCAGCAUAACAACAUGACAAGGUAUGAAGACAUCAGUUAAACAUAUCAGGCAGUAGGGAAGUCAAAAAAGGAAACAACAAAAAGACACUACUUCAGAUUAACACACGUGUUGUGAAGAUACUGAAAUUCGCAUUCUAACAGACAAAGAUGCAUGGCUAACGCAAGUCUCUCCUAAUCUUUUAAUGUGGAAUGCCUCGAUUAUUUCCCGUGUGGUUUGACAUUUGUGUCUCGAAAGAAUUUUUGUGUCUUCAAACACAGGUUUACAACCGCAAUUGAAACAAUGUGACGCUAGAUGUGAAGCAUUAGGAUUGUAAAGUGAAUGUGUUCUUUUAGUCUAAUAUUAAUGCACCUGCCGCUCUGUACAAUGUAAGUCUUCGCGCACUUGAGAGGAAUCUUAUAAAGUAUACCAGUGUUACAAGGCACAAAAAGGGACACAUGUCUAACGCCGCAAUCAUCUUUUCUGUUUAGCCACCCUGUUCAAGUUUCCUAUUUAUCAUAGGCACAUGAUAGACAACUUGCGGGGCCAAGAAAACUUCAUUCAAGUCAUAUCUAUUGGCCACGUUCCAUAAACCAUGGGAUAAUCUAUGUACAUAGGGCACCACAGCAAACUUUUUUUUCUGUUUUUCUUGUUUCUCAGCCUGGCCUUUUACCCAUUUUAAAAGCUUUUUGCAGGUUAGUGAUAAUAACUGCACAGGAUAACUAGCCUUCUCGAGCCUAUCUAUUUGUUGUGAAAAACUGUUUCAUAUCGUGUCGACAUGACUAGCUUAUUCAGCUCUUAAGUUUGCCAUUACUAAUCAUGUCCACACAAAAUGAAACGAAGUUUUUCACAACAAAUAGAUAGAGAGGCAUUCCACAUUAAAAGAUUAGGAGAGACUUGCGUUAGCCAUGCAUCUUUGUCUCUGUUAGGAUGCGAAUUUCAGUAUCUUCACAACACGUGCGUUAAACUGAAGUAGUCUUUUUGAUGUUUCCUUUUUUUACUUCCUUACUUCCUGAUAUGUUUAACUGAUGUCUUCAUACCUUGUCAUGUUCUUAUGCUGCGGUUUUUUGCAGUCACCUAUAUAUAUAUAUAUGUCCUUCGUUUCAAUAAAAAUUUAGUUGAGAGUUAGCGCUCAUCCUGUCUGCUUCUAGUCUUUGUCCGUGUCACUUCGCGCUACAAUCCAAGAUCAUGUUACUGUACCAACUCGCCAAACUUUCUAUCCUUGUGUUAACAUAGACACACUCAGACUUGUUCUUACUUAUGUGACCGGUUAUUCUUGUACUUUAUAAUAAGAUGCAGUGCUUUUCGAAGGAAAACGUGAUAGUUCGUAGUGAGGUUACUUAAAAAAAGCUGUUCUGCUUAAAAUUUAAUUGAGCAAGCCUGUGCCAUUAUUCGCUGCUUAUGUCUUUGUAUUGGUAUGGUUUUACUCCUUCUCGUCCUCUUUAAUUUUAAAAUGUGCAAACAUUAUUAUGUUACCAUUUCCCUUUAAUGAAAUAAUAAAUACUUUUCUUCUGA